rnacentral:misc_RNA from 1 species
GCGUUCUACACGUAGAACACACCGUGAACUGUAUGGAGAGUUGGGGGUCGUCCCGUCGAGGACGUCAAACGAUGAGAGCGCCCGCACUCCGGGUUGAUUCUCACGGCCCCCACGUUUAUUUUUUCCAACUAACACCUUUACUGCAGAAAGCGUGUCCGCCUUGAACGGACARAAAAUUAAAAGUUC